GGGGGAUUAGCUCAGUUGGUAGAGCACCUGCUUUGCACGCAGGGGGUCAGGAGUUCGAGCCUCCUAUCCUCCA
rnacentral:tRNA from 2 species